rnacentral:rRNA from 1 species
GGCUUAGAGUUUGAUCAUGGCUCAGGACGAACGCUGGCGGCGCGCCUAACACAUGCAAGUCGAACGGAACUUGAGAGAGCUUGCUUUUUCAAGUUUAGUGGCGAACGGGUGAGUAACGCGUGAGUAACCUGCCCUGGAGUGGGGGACAACAGUUGGAAACGACUGCUAAUACCGCAUAAGCCCACAGUGCCGCAUGGCACAGCGGGAAAAGGAUUUAUUCGCUUCAGGAUGGACUCGCGUCCAAUUAGCUAGUUGGUGAGGUGACGGCCCACCAAGGCGACGAUUGGUAGCCGGACUGAGAGGUUGAACGGCCACAUUGGGACUGAGACACGGCCCAGACUCCUACGGGAGGCAGCAGUGGGGGAUAUUGCACAAUGGGGGAAACCCUGAUGCAGCGACGCCGCGUGGAGGAAGAAGGUUUUCGGAUUGUAAACUCCUGUCGUUAGGGACGAUAAUGACGGUACCUAACAAGAAAGCACCGGCUAACUACGUGCCAGCAGCCGCGGUAAAACGUAGGGUGCAAGCGUUGUCCGGAAUUACUGGGUGUAAAGGGAGCGCAGGCGGACCGGCAAGUUGGAAGUGAAAUCUAUGGGCUCAACCCAUAAAUUGCUUUCAAAACUGCUGGCCUUGAGUAGUGCAGAGGUAGGUG